CAUCUUUGUAUUUGCUUAUGGAGAAGAAAAUCUUGACUUGCUUGUGUACCCUGACUUCUUCAUACUCAUUGAGCCAAUGUAGUCUGUAAGGGUUAGGUUGUUUAGUACAAGAUAAUCUUAAUUUAUCAACUAGUAAAGUACUGGCAUAUUGGCAUAACUGCCUCCAUCUAUGAUUACUUCUCAUUCACAUAACAUCUGGUGUGGAAGAUAUUUUAUAUUUGAUUGUUGUUUGUCUCUUUGGAUUGUAUAUUUAGGGUUAUCUAGACAACCAAUAUCUCACACUGUACCGGGGCUGCUAAAUUGUCUUCACAAUCAUCUAGUGAUGUUUUAUUAUCAUCAUCACUACUGUAUUCACUAACAGUCUCUAUCUCGCCAUCGUCUCGCAAUAACAUGAUCUUUUUGUUGGGGCAUUGUGAUGCGAUGUGUCCAACUCCAAGGCACCUAAAAUACUUAAUAAAACUUGUUCUUUGAGUAGUAGUAGGUGGUUUAGGGUUACCUUUAGAUUCAGUAGAGUUGAGCUUGUCCCUCCUUUCUUCAAAUCUCUUUGUUUCUUCCUUUUUGGGCCAUUUGAAACUAAAUUAAGG
rnacentral:lncRNA from 1 species